ensembl:lncRNA
AGACACACCCAGCCAUCGUGUGUUUGGAGUCCUUACCUAUAGAGGGACUGCUUUCUCAAUAUUUUAGUCCCAGUAAUGUGAAAAGUGUUAGUUGUUCAGUCGUGUCCAACUCUGACUCUUUGCCAUCCUAUGAACCAUGUAGCCCACCAGCUUCCUCUGUCCAUGGGAUUCUCCAGGCAAGAAUACUGGAGUGAGGAAUGGCUGCCCACUCCAGUAUUCUGGCCUGGAGAGCUCCAUGGACUGAGUAGUCCAUGCAGUCGCAAAGAGUCAGACACGACUGAGCGACUUUCACUUUCACAGCUUUGUCACAGAUUUUCUUCCAGGGAACAAGCGUCUUUUAAUUUCGUGGCUGCAGUUCACUCUAGAUAGAUUCGUGAACAAAACAAUGAACUUGCUCUUCAUGGAACUCAGACUCUGGUGAAGGAGGAUUAUUGGAUGUGGACUGUGUGUGUUGUUCUCCUCACCUGACGGGUUGACCCCGCUCAUUCUGCACAGCUACCCUCUGAUGCGGGUACCAUAAUUAUCCCAUUUUACAGAUAAGAACACUGAGUGGCACAGGGGGAUUUGGAAAGCCCCUGGGGGCCAGGAAGAGGCAGAGCAGUCUUUGAACCGAGCUGGACUGGCUCUGGAAAACACCUCCUCGGGUUCCACAUUUGUGGUCUCCAGGUGGCUGCUGCUGACCUCACACACAGCCGCUGCACAAGCACGGGGUUGGGGGGAGUACCCAGACUGCAGUUAAGACAGCAUUGAAUGGCAGCUUGUUUAUCAAGAGAGAGAUUGAAAGCAUUUCCACAGAGAAGCAAACUAACAAAGUCCAAGCCCGUGGGUUUAUUUUGUUUGCAUGAUAGAGUAAGGAAAUGGCUGAAAGCUGGAAUGACCACAGGGCUGAAGCCAUGGAGAGGGAUAGACAGAAAUGUCUGACGCCCCAGGAAGACUUUCCAGCAGACAAGCUCACUGUCCCCAGGACUCACAACUUAGUGAGAGAGCAAAACAAACAAGGCUGUAUGUAAGAAACACAAGCAGCUCCUGCAGCUCAACUCCAGAAAAAUAAACGACCCAACAAAAAACGGGCCAAAGAACUAAAGAGACAUUUCUCCAAAGAAGACUUACAGGUGGCUGACAAACACAUGAAAAGAUGCUCAACAUCACUCACUAUCAGAGAAAUGCAAAUCAAAACCACCAUGAGGUACCAUUUCACACCAGUCAGAAUGGCUGC